GUGCCAGCAGCCGCGGUAAUACAGAGGUCUCAAGCGUUGUUCGGAUUCAUUGGGCGUAAAGGGUGCGUAGGUGGCGAUGUAAGUCUGGUGUGAAAUCUCGGGGCUCAACCUCGAAAUUGCAUUGGAUACUGCGUUGCUUGAGGAUUGUAGAGGAGAGUGGAAUUCACGGUGUAGCAGUGAAAUGCGUAGAUAUCGUGAGGAAGACCAGUUGCGAAGGCGACUCUCUGGGCAAUUCCUGACACUGAGGCACGAAGGCCAGGGGAGCAAACGGGAUUAGAUACCCCGGUAGUCC
rnacentral:rRNA from 1 species